rnacentral:hammerhead_ribozyme from 1 species
AUCCCCCUGACGAGUCCAAAAUAAGACGAAACGAGUGUCAUGGAU